UCAUACCUGGAAAAUUGUUUUCAAUCAAAAUACGGUCGUUACGCGAUCUAAUCACGUUGACGAGCUGUAUCUGAAUUUGUCCGACUCUCAAUCUGUUUUGUCUGGAACACUUGAUGAGAAUUUUUUAAUUGGUAAGCAUAUAAAUAUAAUCGGUUUAGCCACUAUCUAUUAUGUAACAAUCUAUACUAACGUUUACAGUUUUUUUUUUACAGAUGUGCUGGGUCAAGUUAUGGAUUGUGGUGAUGUCGAAAACAUUCAGUGUACCGGGGGAAAGCAACCAAAAAAACUUGAAUUCACCCUAAGCGAAAUCAAGUAAGUUAGCUGUCAUUUACUCCAAAAAAAAUUGAAUUCAUUCGGUUAAGAUAAUAUAACUAACCAUAUCUUGACAACCUUUUGUAGUGAUUCGCGUUUACCAUGCUGCAUAUGGGCAACUUAGCCGAGAAACUCCAUUCUGCAAUUAACCAAGAAGUUGGAAUGGUUACUAUGCUGCUCAGGUUUGCUAAAGCUUGGGGGAUUUAGAGGAGAACUGCAAAUCUCUAACGCUUUUGAUGCUUCUCAAAUGAUGAUCAACCCGUCAAUACCUGAAGCUGAAGCAUUCAAAGAAUUGAUCAAUGACGAUGACAAAACUCUAACCUCAUUCCAAAGUAAUGAGGACAGUCAAGAGGACAACAACAAACAAGUUGAUCAGUCAGGGAAGCGAGGACAGCGUGAUAAGUGGUUACUUUUUCCCACUAAGAACAUCCAAGAAAUGAUAACAUCAACUCAAGUUGAUAGAUGCUUUGUGAGAUGCACAGUCUAUGCCAUUGAUAUGGAUUGGUCGUGGUAUUACUUUGGUUGUAAAGCAUGCAACAAAAGAAUGAUCAAAACUGGAACCAAAGUUAAGAAAUUAAAUGGUAAAGAAUCACAACUCAUAUUUGGGUGUGAGACAUGCAAAGACAGUGUUUUCGAAGUUUCACCAAAGUCAAGGACAAACAUUGUCUGAAGUUGGUAUAUUUCUACCAAAACCGUUUUUUUCGCACGGACAACUAUAUAUGGCUGUUUCAAGAGUGACUUCUAAGAAAGGCUUGAAGAUGCUGAUUGUUGACAGCGAAGGCAAGCCUCAAUGCCAAACAAAGAAUGUUGUCUUUAGAGAGGUUUCGAUAAUCUAUAAUCUAUGCUUUCAGUUCUGUUUUUAAAAAAUUGCAGAUGAUAUGCUUUAUUUGCAGACUUUGGUUUUAUGUUUUACGUUUAACAAAUGUUUAAGAUUCAUAACAGAACAAUGUGAGUUUUUGGUGAGGAUGUGAAGCCUCAGAAACAAACAUAUGAUGUUUGUUGUUAAAAUUAUUUGAUAGCUAUUAUUUCUAACAAGAAAAAUGAACUUUAGGAAAAGUUCUACGUUGCAGAAAACAAUAUAAUUAUCCUAUCUACAGAUAAUAACACCAAAUCAAUCAAUCAAACUCCGCUUUCAAUCCUAACUACCGAUAGUCAGUUCCAUUCCUAGCUUCUACAAUUCUAAACAAUGUUUAAUAGUAACUUUUAUAUCAUUGCAGAAUGGUUGGAUACAUGUCAUUACAUACUGGUGCGCAAGUUUGGUUUGACUUUGCCUCAUGUCUUUCAUCAUCAUACAACAUAUAGACUCUGUUCUGUAAACUUAGGAGAAAACAUUAGUUAACCGUUUAGAUUUUACAAAAUAUCAAAUAUAUUAUAGUAAUUGUAUGCGUUUAGGUUACAUCUAAUAAAAACUUAUCUUUUCUCAGGAUUGAGGUUUUCGUGAUUGAAGUUGGAGUCGCCUUAAUAAAGCUCUACCAGUACUCUCUGUCACUACAAGACCUGCACAUGAGUCGUAAACAUUAAUAAGACAACAAACUAAACACAUAUCAUUCAGCUUCUGCUUUAAAACAGAUUAAUCAAAUUAUUCAUACACUAAUUUGUUAGUGCCUGAAAUAAAAAAUUAGAAUCAAUCAUAAGAGACUCCAAAUUGAGGAACAUAGAUUGUACAAGCAUAAACAUAUAUCAUUCAGUCAUUAGCAUAAGAGACAGCAAAGAAAUUCUUCUGGGACAGCAGCGAAAGGAAGUAACGAAGGUCAAAGAUGUUACGAUGCAUAAUCAAUUAAAAGGAUUUACCUCUGUUAUAAUCCAUCUAAAAAGUUGGAAGUUGUUUUUGCUCGGAAUUCUUAUGUGACCAAGCAAAUCACUAAUCAAUCUUCUUCAUCUGUGAUUCUGCAGAAUAAAACAAUUAUUAUGCCAAGAGGAAAGGAAAUAAGAUCGAAAUUUUAGGUUGGCUUAUGAUUAAUACCCGAUUCAUGAGAAACAUUCACCAAGCAACAGUUUCGAUCUUCACCACGCCCUAUCCAUCAAGAUCGAUAGACCUAACCACUGAUUCUCUCACCGAUUCUCAAUUUCAGUAAUAGCGUGUUGUCGAUUCCUCAAAGAAAAAUUUGAUCGAGAAUUUUUUUUUUUACUUUCCCUUUCUGUUUUUUUUUAAAGCAAACGGCCACAAAAACAUAUUUUUUGACGUAACAUAUUUUUUUUGUCUCUCUUUGGGCAAUUCUGGCCCAUUUUAUCAGACCAAAAAACACAUCCUAACCAAAACAAAGCCCAACACUAAUUUUUUUUAAAACCAACUAUAAGCCAAUUUAAAUACAUAAUUAUUAUUAAAUAUUUCGGUUAUUAUAAUUUAAAAAUUAUACAUGAAUUAAAAAUAUGUAGAUUGAAACAUUUAAUGUCUAUUAUAUUUUUCAUAUAAUAUUUCUUUGAUAAGUUAAAAUUAUGAAUAAAUAAACUUACCAAAUAUAUCAUCACAAUAUGAUUAAAUUUAUUGAGUAAAAGGUUACCAUUUUAAAAUCUUUUAACUAAUUAAUUAGUUCACAAACAAACAUUUUUAUUUUAAUAUUAAUUAAAAAAUUAAAAAUAAGACAAUAUAAAAAAAAAUUGGCUAUAAACAAAAAAACUAUUAAAAUAUAGAUUAGACAAA